rnacentral:lncRNA from 1 species
AUUCUUUGGCAGUUUCCUCCUCUAAAAAUGUCAGGAUUCUCAGCUGAAGACUUGAUGAAUCCAGCGUCCGUCUCCACUCGCAGGAACUUCACUUUCCCAAACUUGGCGCGAUCAGCCGGGUCGUACCGGCACGCGGGCCCUCGGGGCUCAGGAGGAGAUAAUGCAGGCAGUGUGUCGGUGUGUGUGUAGCCACUGUAUGCAUGUGUGUGUGUGAGCGUUGUGUCAACACUGAGCGGUAUGCUGGGAAUGUUUACACAGAUACGCCGCAGCUCGUGUGGUAAUUCAGAGGAGAGAGCCCACACUUAUAAACCUGCCGACCCUCCGGCAACGGGACGGACUGUCAGGGAGAGAUACAGAUCAGGAAUAUAAAGACAACAACACUUGAUGGGAGAUGGUGUCAGAAACUUUGGCAUCAUUCAUCAAAACUUCCCUCAGUGUGUUGCCAGCGAAGGAAAGUCUGCCAACAUCCUCAGAGCUCUGUAAACGGGUCUGCUGCUUCUUCACUGGGCGUCUUGUUUUCAUGGUGCUGCUCUGAGUUGACUGUCGAGCAGAUUCUGAUGAUCAAACCCGGCAGUUCUCUGAUGUUCACGUUGUGUUUGCAUGUUCAGCUGCGUGAAGUCCAACAGAACCUCGGCUGCUGCUUCGAUUCUUCAGGAGCGCUCGGUGGAUCGAGUUAAUCCAGCUGCAGCUCGAAUGUGAAGCAGCUGAUCGGUUCACAGAGGAGACCAGGAACUUUACUGAUGGAGACCAGAAAAUAUUAAAUAAUACGAGACGCCGUAUUAUUAGGCUCACAACAACAGCACAUUCACACUCAGUUUCAGAGUAAAAUAACCAAGUCGUGUAAGUCAUUAAGCAUCUACAUCUACAGCAUCCAUAGACUCUGGUGCUGGUCCGGAUGAAGGGACGGGUCCAGGAUGUUUGGCAGGUAUCUGUGAGUGCAGAUUAAUGAGGCUUUCUUAUUCUGUUGUCCUAAAGAACAUUUUGUUUGCAUGAAUUCAUUGAUUAGGAAGAUAAAGAACUGUAUUAAU